rnacentral:rRNA from 1 species
UACGAAGGGGGCUAGCGUUGCUCGGAAUUACUGGGCGUAAAGCGCACGUAGGCGGCUUUCUAAGUCGGGGGUGAAAUCCUGGAGCUCAACUCCAGAACUGCCUUCGAUACUGGAGAGCUCGAGUCCGGGAGAGGUGAGUGGAACUGCGAGUGUAGAGGUGAAAUUCGUAGAUAUUCGCAAGAACACCAGUGGCGAAGGCGACUCACUGGCCCGGUACUGACGCUGAGGUGCGAAAGCGUGGGGAGCAAACAGG